rnacentral:lncRNA from 1 species
GCUACAAAAUAAUAUAUAUAUAUAUAUAGAGUUGGACUGGGCUACUAUUUAUAGCAAAAUCUCAUUGUUGCUACCAGUUUUUUAGCCUUUGGAUCAACUCUUUUCAUUAUUUCUAACCAUUGGAUUAAAUACUAUAACCCAAUGGGGACCACUCAACCCUAGAGGGACCACUCAACUCUAACCGACUAAGGCCCCGUUUGGAUACCUCUAAAAACGUAGCAUAGUUAAACUAUGCUACGCUGGUAGAAAAAUAAUCCUAUGAAGCGUUUGGAAGAAAAAAAAAAAUGACGUAAUUUUUGGAGUAUAGUUAUACUAUACUCCAAAAAAUGGAGUAAACUAACAAUCCACUUUAACCAAAGGAAAAAAAUUCCACCAUUUUGGGCUCCCAAAGAUGUAUCAAUUUUUAAAUUUUAAAUUUCAACAUAAAAUUUUAGAUUUCAAAUUUUAAAAUUUUAAAAUUCAAAUUUAAUUUUGAUUUUAAAUUUCAAAUUUUAAAUUUCAAAUUUCAAAUUUCAAAAACUUCAAAUUUUAAAUUUUAAAUUUCAAAUUUCAAAAACUUCAAAUUUCAAAUUUCAAAUUUCAAAUU